UAUUGUAUCAGAAGGAAAAAAAAAUGUCCGCGAAAGUUGUCUCUCUCGAUCCGCCGUGGUCAUCAUCUCACCGGCGCGGGUGACAAUUGGGGACUCUGGUUCAGCAAAUGGGUGACUCUGAUUGAGCAAGUCGAAGAGUUUUCUUCAGCAAAUCGGCGUUUCUCAUGAGAAGAACGUCCUGUUGCAAUAUUCCACUCCUCGGAGGACUCCAACGAGAAUGUAACGCCCAGAACCUUUCUGAUAAGGGACAGAGACUGCAGAAGCUAAGAGAUAAAUUAGCAACGACCAUCCAUAUUUAACUCCCCUUCUUCAUAAACUUCCCUUAACAAGGUUGCUGAUUCACUUGAUAAAGGAACAGAACAUGAAGAUGAGUAUAUGAUCAGUGAAAAAGAGCUUCUCGUGAACAGAAUCUAUUUGCGUUGGAGAAAGUCUUUUAAAAGUUUUCUUCCAGCCACGUUUCCAGCUUUCUCGAGCAACCGUGAGCUCACGCAGUUUCUGUUCCAACCGUAUCAAGAUCACAGAUGUUUCCAAAUGAUGUAUACAUAGGAGAGACAUCAUCGAGGCUGCUGAUUCUUUCAGGCAGGAAAGGUUAUACUCUGCAGCGCUAGACACAAGAUCUUCAGUUCAGUGGCUUGUCGCCAAAGUGCAAGAUAGAAUUAUUUCAACCAUUUUGAGAAAAUAUAUUGUGAAGAGUUCAAAAACAGUUAGGCAUACGUUCGAAUACUACGAUAAAGAUGAAACAGUUGUGGCUCAUAUAGCUAGAGGUAUUGAUGCAUUUAUAAAGGUCUCUCAUGGUUGGCCAUUAAAUCUUGCAUCUCUCAAGAAUUCUGACAAUCAGUCAAAAGGGAAUUUCUCUGAGCCUUGUCUGCAAACUUGAGUAUGUUUUGCAGAUUAUUGAAAAGAGAGGGUUUGGACUUUGGACGACAGAAAUACUUGGUUUGGAGAUAAAAGCAACAAAAAGACAAGCAGCGGAAAGAAACUUCUGGUUACAAUAGAAUUGAAGUUAUUCAGGGACAGAGGACAAUAGCCUCUAGCUUAUGUCCUUAAGUUUCCUUUAUAUGACAACAUAAUCUUAUUAUAUUCAUAAAACCACAAUACUGUAACAUAGUGAUUUUACUCCUUUUGGAUAAAGACAUAUAAUAAUUAUGGAAAAAAUUAC